UGUUUGAUGUUCUAACGUUGACCCGUAAUCCGGGUUGCGGACAGUGUCUGGUGGGUAGUUUGACUGGGGCGGUCUCCUCCUAAAGAGUAACGGAGGAGCACGAAGGUUGGCUAAUCCUGGUCGGACAUCAGGAGGUUAGUGCAAUGGCAUAAGCCAGCUUGACUGCGAGCGUGACGGCGCGAGCAGGUGCGAAAGCAGGUCAUAGUGAUCCGGUGGUUCUGAAUGGAAGGGCCAUCGCUCAACGGAUAAAAGGUACUCCGGGGAUAACAGGCUGAUACCGCCCAAGAGUUCAUAUCGACGGCGGUGUUUGGCACCUCGAUGUCGGCUCAUCACAUCCUGGGGCUGAAGUAGGUCCCAAGGGUAUGGCUGUUCGCCAUUUAAAGUGGUACGCGAGCUGGGUUUAGAACGUCGUGAGACAGUUCGGUCCCUAUCUGCCGUGGGCGCUGGAGAACUGAGGGGGGCUGCUCCUAGUACGAGAGGACCGG
rnacentral:rRNA from 1 species